GGGGUGGUAACUCAGUGGUAGAGUGUCUCGUUCGCAUCGAGGAAGCCCGGAGUUCAAUCCUCCGUCACUCCA